CCUACGGUGUGCAGCAGUGAGGAAUAUUGGUCAAUGGCCGGGAGGCUGAACCAGCCAAGUCGCGUGAGGGAAGACGGCCCUACGGGUUGUAAACCUCUUUUGUCAGGGAGCAAGGUGCAGGUCGGGACCUGCUGUGAGAGUACCUGAAGAAAAAGCAUCGGCUAACUCCGUGCCAGCAGCCGCGGUAAUACGGAGGAUGCGAGCGUUAUCCGGAUUUAUUGGGGUUAAAGGGUGCGCAGGCGGCCUGUUAAGUCAGCGGUAAAAGCCCGGGGCUCAACCCCGGCGAGCCGUUGAAACUGGCGGGCUGGAGUUGGAGAGAAGUACGCGGAAUGCGCGGUGUAGCGGUGAAAUGCUUAGAGAUCGCGCAGAACCCCGAUUGCGAAGGCAGCGUACCGGCUCCACACUGACGCUGAGGCACGAAAGCGUGGGUAUCGAACAGGAUUAGAUACCCUUGUAGUC
rnacentral:rRNA from 1 species